rnacentral:rRNA from 1 species
UAGGGAAUCUUCCGCAAUGGACGCAAGUCUGACGGAGCAACGCCGCGUGAGUGAAGAAGGAUUUCGGUUCGUAAAACUCUGUUGUUAGAGAAGAACAGCGCAUAGAGUAACUGUUAUGCGUGUGACGGUAUCUAACCAGAAAGCCACGGCUAACUACGUGCCAGCAGCCGCGGUAAUACGUAGGUGGCAAGCGUUGUCCGGAUUUAUUGGGCGUAAAGCGAGCGCAGGCGGUCAAUUAAGUCUGAUGUGAAAGCCCCCGGCUCAACCGGGGGGGGUCAUUGGAAACUGGUUGACUUGAGUGCAGAAGAGGAGAGUGGAAUUCCAUGUGUAGCGGUGAAAUGCGUAGAUAUAUGGAGGAACACCAGUGGCGAAGGCGACUCUCGGGUCUGUAACUGACGCUGAGGUUCGAAAGCGUGGGUAGCAAACAGG